GUGGCGAUCGCGCUAUAGAAGUACACUUAAUUCAAGAAGAAGACAACAGUAUGAGGGUUGAGUGUGUCCAGCAGGUGGACGGAGCUGGUCGGACUGCUUCUGCCUUGGUCUUCCUGCUGAUGGUCCGCUGAGCUCAGGCCGUUUUCGUACAGCUGGCUCUCAUCGUGCCGCAGAUGCCAGGUCAGACCUAACAGAAUCUGAAAAGGUUAUAUGCCUUGGCUACUGGGAAGAACAAAGCAAAUGAAAUCCUUCAUUGCUCUUUUUCCCCCUCCUGACACAUUUGGAACAUCAAACAAAAGCAAAGACUCAAAUGGUAAAGUUGUGAUGUGCUGGUGGCAGUCAGAGGAUGGGCGCUGCAUGCAGAUCAAGCAGGACGAUAACCCCAAACAUUCAACCAAAGUCUAUUCUCAGCGUGGAGAAGAACAGGGAGAUCGAGGAGUGAUGGCAUGACCCCCACAGAGCCCUGAUCUCAACAUCAUGGAGAUAAGUAUUGCAUGAAGAGACAGAAGGAUGUGAGAAAACCCACACCCACGGAAGAUCUGUGGCUACUUCUCCAAGAUGUUCGGAACAACCCACCAACUGUCUGCCAGCAAACCUGCUGCACUGAUGUUGUUUAGGGGUCAAAGAGUGGUCACACUUAUGAGUUUGAUUUAGAAUUCUCAUUUGUUUAGUUUCUUCAUUUUGCUAAUUGAUGAAAAUAAUAUAAUUACAGUUUUUGAAAGUCUUGUUGUUUAUUUCACACCUUCUGAAAACUUUUUGCACAGCACUGUAUGCAUACACACCUUCUUUGAGACAUGGCCAUGAUUUUUUUUAUUUUUAUUUUUUCCAAAUAAUUCAGGUAAAAGGGCAACAAAAAGAAAAAACAAUACAGUUUGUGUUUGGUAGAAUAUUUCUUUGUUGUUUAGUAGCAAUUAAUCUUUCACUGUCGGAAAGCCUGUUCAUUACCCUUUGAAAGGGUGCCACAUUUGUGAGUAACGUUUUGUUUGUGGAAUUAACAGAAGAGCUCAGCAUGUGGGAUCCAGAUUUAUUUUUUUUAAAUGGCCAAAUAAUAGUUCAAGUAUAUUCAUAAUCUCAUUCAGCGUCAUGCAGAAAACAACAAAAAGAUUGUCAAUAUUUUACAUUGUAAACAACAAUUUUUUUUUGUAUUGUGGAGUAAAACAGUCAUACAUAAGUCUCAAUUGUCAUUUUAAAUGACCUGCAUAUUGAAAGUUGGUUUCAUUUGGUCUAUAGUUUACAGUGGGGGAUGCAGCAUGUGUGUCAGUUCCUAGAGUUGCCGUUUCAGCACCAUGGACAGAGCUAUUUCUGUAGCCGCUAUCUGUCCUACAGGGUGAAAUGUCCUGCCUGCUUCAAUAGAAAAAUGUUAGCAACCCAGCAGUGCUCCUAAAGAGGGCUGGGAUUCAGUUAAAAUGCUUAAGGACACACGAGCAAAGUAAAUAAUGUUGCUGUCAAUGGGGCUUGACCUGAGGCCCUCCAACUGAAAGACUGGAAAGUCGUAAUAGUGACUGUAUUUGAGUAUGUAGAGAAAAGUGGAGUGUAAAAGCCGGAUACUUGUUGUGGAAUACAUUAAAUCAACAGAGUUACUA